GGCUUGGUGGUCUAGUGGUAUGAUUCUCGCUUAGGGUGCGAGAGGUCCCGGGUUCAAUCCCCGGCCAAGCCC